UAAUACGGAGGUGGCAAGCGUUGUUCGGAAUUACUGGGCGUAAAGGGCGCGUAGGCGGUUUUGCAAGUCAGAUGUGAAAGCCCCGGGCUUAACUCGGGAAUUGCAUCUGAAACUGCUUAACUUGAGUCCUGGAUGGGGUAGUGGAAUUCCCAGUGUAGCGGUGAAAUGCGUAGAUAUUGGGAGGAACACCUGCGGCGAAGGCGGCUACCUGGACAGUGACUGACGCUGAGGCGCGAAAGCUAGGGGAGCGAACGGG
rnacentral:rRNA from 1 species